rnacentral:misc_RNA from 1 species
GUUUUUUGACUCAAGAACUGAUUCUGCAGCUAGUUCAGCUUCUGCACGAGCUUGACCUUUUCCAAUUGCUUCAGCAACAAAUCUUGAGACAACUACUUCCUGAUAGAGCUGCUCAAUUGAAGCAUUAUCAAGCUGCAUAUCACCAAUGACAUCUGAAGGAGAAGGAAGUGUUAGCCCUGCCUGAGAUAGAACAGUACUGAUGUUCUGCCACUGGCAUCGCAUCAUAUUAAGAGCAUCUUCUGCUGUUUUUCUUCUUUCGAUUUCCUCAAGGAAUUUGAGCUUUGUGGUGCGCAGUUCCCAUUCAAUAUUAGGUCCACA